CACGGGAAAUCUCUCCCGGCCCGGACACAGUGAGGAUUGACAGAUUGAGAGCUCCUUGGCCGACAGGUCCGGGAAACCCGUUGAACCCCGGUCGUGCUAGGGAUAGGGAAUUGCAAUUAUUUCCCUUGAACGAGGAAUUCCCAGUAAGCGCGAGUCAUUAGCUCGCGUUGAUUACGUCCCUGCCCUUUGUACACACCGCCCGUCGCUACUACCGAUUGAAUGGUUUAGUGAGGUCCUCCGAUUGGACCCGGUCCGGGCGGCGACGUCCGAGCCGGCGUCCGAGAAGACGAUCUAACUUGAUCAUUUAGAGGAAGUAAAAGUCGUAACAAGGUUUCCGUAGGUGAACCUGCGGAAGGAUCAUUA
rnacentral:ncRNA from 1 species